AUAGCGAACAAGUACCGUGAGGGAAAGUUGAAAAGCACUCUGGAGAGAGAGUCAAAAGACCGUGAAACCGCUCAGAGUAUAAGCCCAUGGCAGCUUGGAAGGCAUAUCGCUAGCGGGGCAUCGGUCUCCCUUCACGGGGAGCUGGUGUUACCUUGCUUCUGUUGUGGCUCGUUAUGGUAGGGGGGUCAAGUCCACAUCCCGCCGUCGUGUGGGGAGUUCUUGGGCGCGUCGUGGCUUUGCGGUUGACCUCGGUUGGCCGUGGGGCUCUUCGUGCUUGGUUCUUCUUUAGACACGGACGUUCAGACUCAGUUGCAAGACGCGAUAACCAGCCCACCACGGCACGUUGUGAGGUCACCCACAGGCUCGACUUUCGAUUGUGGUCCUUGACGCCGAGCAAGCACUGUGCGUGUCGCAGAUGUUCCUAACCGGGCAAAACUCGUUUGCCAGGAUCGUGGAACGACACGCGCUCAACAGUCAGGACCGGGCGAUGACAGAGUUCUGGUACGAUCCUCUUGCGACGAGCCGCCUUCUGGCCGAUUUCCGAUGCUCAGGUCUCCCGCAUGUGCCGCGGGAGAUCGCCUUGACGGUCUGGAGCUUUCACAAGUCCUCUCAGUCGGGCAACGGAAAGAGUGGUGUAAAGUCCAAGCCCAUCGGUCACGUCUAGAAACACGGGCCAAGGAGUAUAGCAUGUGUGCAAGUCUAAGGGUCUCACAAAACCCGAAGGCGAAGUGAAAGCAAGUAAGCGGCGGGUGAUCUA
rnacentral:rRNA from 1 species